rnacentral:rRNA from 1 species
UACGGCACGUACCGUGCGCCCGAACCUUAUAGGAUAAACGGCUAGCAACGCAGUUUGACGGCCAUGAAGCGUGUCCGCUCGCUGGCUCGUCGCUGCGUUGCCCUGUCGGGCAAAUUGGCAAGGUCGUGAGGGCCAAAACCCUUGGAAGAUCUCCGUCUGUUCGUGCCGCCGUGUCCCGCCCGGUGCCCGGCCCGUGUCGGGCCCGGCCCAGACAGUGCACGUCCGUGCGCUUUAAGUUGUGCAAACCGGUCCAAACCGGGGCUGGGCGGCGAGGGGGUGGGGGGGGAGUAAGGGUAGGGGCUGAGCGGCGCCGGGGCGGGGGGUGGGGCUAGGGGCUGGGCGGCGGCGUGAGGGGUGGUAGCGGCGUGGGGCCGCCCGUGACGGGAUUAGCCUAGGUUGGUACUAUAGGCUCUGCGUCACGCGGGGCGAGGCCGCUAUAGGGGGUUAAUGAAUGAGAGCAAGGUCUCGCGCUACCGCUCUAGACCGCCGUUCGCUCCGCACUACCUCGUGGUGACGGACUUGGCCAAGGCGGCGGCCGCUGAGGAGCGGAAGGAGGCGGCGUUGUUAGAAGGGAGGUGGAACCUGCGCGACUUCGUGCUCUGCGCGCAGAAAGAGCUAGACGCGAAGGACGCCGCGGACCACCGCCUGCCGGCCACCGUCGUCCGCGCUCUCAUGAAGUCGGCGAAGGACGGCACGGCCUUACUCCAGCUGCGCGUGUGGCGCGAGUCUAAGUAGUGAGCGGAGUCGCAAGAGCUGCUGUACCGGGUCCCCUUCGACCCCACGUAGCUACGCCGGCUACUAGAGGCCUGGGUUGAGCUCAGAAUGGGAAGGUCGUACUAGCUCCGGCUGGGCGUGAUGCGGCUACGACAGACGCGUUAGAAUAUGUUACCGAGAGUGGGCCGAAUGACCCUAGGGCACCUGACCGCCGAGUAAUCCGAGUUUCGGCGUGUCCAACAGUUCCUGAACCAGUGCGCUUGGUGACUCGUAGACGACGCCAACGGCGCCACAGGUUCGGUGGGUACAAUGUGGUAGGGGAAGCCCAAACCCCCAACGGCCUCCGUAUUCUCCUUCUUGUAUCCGACCUACAGCCGUAGAGAAGAACGGGCGGCAAAAGAAGUCUUUCUCUCCGCAGGAAGGAGUGGUACGUGAGUUCCCAAUAGCACACUUGGAUACCUAAACCUCCUUUAAUAACUACUUUGAAACGAUCGACCCUUCGUCCUCCAGUUUCUUGUAAGUCUAAGAACGUCACUUCCGUAAGGUUGUCAUGGACGAUUACGUCCGCGCGGCCGUAACCCGAACGACCGCAGGAAUCCCCGCUAACACGGGAGACGGGGUCGCGGCAGGCGGGAGCAGGAGUGGGGCCUCGUCUGCUGUCGGCGUUAGGACCUUAAUGCCGUCCGGCACCGCCCGUAGUCCCGGAAGGAGCAACCCGGGAUACACCGGGUUGUCGGAGGAGGCGGCGGUGUGGUUGUCGUCGAUGGGGACGGUGGUGGCGGGAGCCUGCGCGGGUGCCGCGGCCUACAGCAGUUACGUCACCUGCGACUAGUACAAAAUUUAUUUCAUUUCCGGGACCCUCUGUAAAGUUUACGGUACUAGUACGAUCACUUCAUGUGUAGGUGUGUACCAGGUCUAGGGUCCUACAAGCACCUCUUUAAUUACCUCGUCCUCUUCGACAAUAAGCUUGACGCUAAUCUAACGUAUUUACGUUACUAUUCUCCGACAUAAAGGCGAGGCUAGGCCCACUCCGUAAAGGUGCUCGUGCAGUGCCGGCGCGGUGGGGUGGCGACGGUACAACAUUCCGUCCGCCGUCUUGACCAAGCUCGUUUGUGCGCACCCGACGGAAGCACAAACGAACGACUUCAACGGACACUAGUCAAAACGGCAAGAGAAAGAGAAAGAGAUGGCACAAAACUACCGCGGGCUCACUACGUUCUUAGUAGUGGCAAGAGAAAGAGACGGAAAGACAUAUCCCCACGCCUCGUGGGCUCUCGAGGACACAUAAAAGGGAGCUACGUCGGAGAAAACACCUCCUUCCUCAACCUCAAUGAGUCUCAUGAACCACCCUCGCCGCUGUUGCUAUAAAGGCCUAACACACCUGUAGAGAUGGAACUAGCCCUUCCAGUUUAAAUU